rnacentral:lncRNA from 1 species
UCCUCUGACUUCUCCGACCCCCUGGCUAGUAGAAAAUUUUAAUUUCAAAUAGUAGGUCGAUACUACAGCUCAGAGGGCGUUAAGGCUAGGUCGGCCGAGUAUUGCAUUGUAGGCAGACGGUGCCCUCACUAUCAGAAAAUCUACUUGCGCCCUAGAUUAUUUCGGAUACCGACCUGCAACUACAGUCAAAGUUAUUACUCCCUCCACUGGCACAGCAUCGCCAGUAAACCCUACCAACGGUGAGCUAAUCGGCCCUAACCGAUCAUCAGGGAUGGAUAUUUUUGAGAAUGCAUCGUAAAACAAAAUAUC